AGGACAGGGCCGGGCGGGAGAAGAGCGAAUCAAACGCAAAGCUGUUCAUCUCUCUGCAUCAGACUUCAGCUCUUAAACCCCGGUGGCAAUGAAGUGACCGCUAGAGCUUGUUAUCAUGUAUACAAGACCUGCAAUACAACACCGGAGGACACACAUCGUGGUUGCCUGCCGACAGACGGCUCACAAUCUCACGCAGUGUAAUCCAGUGAAGCACUGUCUUUAACAUGGAAUUCAUUAUUAACUCUCUUUCAAGAAAGACAUUUGAGGAGUGCAUAAGGCAUUAGUGUGUAUUUGUGAACAGGAAGCUUUUAUACCAAUAAAGAGGAUGUAUCUAUUGUU
rnacentral:lncRNA from 1 species